UGGGGAUGAGGCCAGCUCCGAAUCGGACAGUGGGGACGACGCGGACCGGGAUUUCUACCGCACCCUGGCCCUGCUGAAAACCAAGGACCCCAAGAUCUACCAGAAAGAUGCCACCUUCUACAGCCCAGCAGGUUCCUCGUCGGGAAGCGGAGGCGCGGCAGGGCCCCCGGUGCUGGGGGAGA